AUCCGGUGGUUCUGAAUGGWAGGGCCAUCGCUCAACGGAUAAAAGGUACUCCGGGGAUAACAGGCUGAUACCGCCCAAGAGUUCAUAUCGACGGCGGUGUUUGGCACCUCGAUGUCGGCUCAUCACAUCCUGGGGCUGAAGUAGGUCCCAAGGGUACGGCUGUUCGCCGUUUAAAGUGGUACGCGAGCUGGGUUUAGAACGUCGUGAGACAGUUCGGUCCCUAUCUGCCGUGGGCGUUGGAAGAUUGAAAGGGGCUGCUCCUAGUACGAGAGGACCGGAGUGGACGCACCACUGGUGUUCGGGUUGUCAUGCCAAUGGCAUUGCCCGGUAGCUAAGUGCGGAAGAGAUAACCGCUGAAAGCAUCUAAGCGGGAAACUUGCCUUGAGAUGAGUCUUCCCUGACYCUUUAAGRGUCCUAAAGGAACGUUUAAGACUAAGACGUUGAUAGGUUGGGUGUGUAAGCGUAGCGAUACGUUGAGCUAACCAAUACUAAUGAACCGUGAGGCUUAACCUG
rnacentral:rRNA from 1 species